rnacentral:lncRNA from 1 species
CCAGUCUGAUCUCGAACUCCUGACCUCGGCGCCGUGGCUCAAGCCUGUAAUCCCAGCUCUUUGGGAGCCCAAGGUGGGUGGAUCACGAGGUCAGGAGUUUGAGACUAGCCUGACCAACAUGGUGAAACCCCGUCUCUACUAAAAAUACAAAAAUUAGCCGGGCCCACGUGCUUAUAAUCCCAGUUACUCAGGGAUAAAUUCAAAAUAAACUUGCUCCAUGGAAAGUAAUGGCUUAGCGUAAAGCAGGAAAAAAAGCAAGGAGGAAUGAACAUGAAGCCAAAACACAAAAGAAAGCACUGUAAAGGGAAGGAAAGAGAGUUAUAUCUAAGUCCCUGGAUCUGUCCAUGCCUGAAGCAACAGCCACUGGUGGACUUCCUAGUUAUAUGAGCUAAUUAUUUUCCCUUUUUUCUUAAAUAGUAUGAGUUAAGCUUCUUGAAAUCAAAAUAUUUUUGAUUAAAAUGGAGGUAAUUCU